UACGGGGGGGGCAAGCGUUGUUCGGAAUUACUGGGCGUAAAGGGCUCGUAGGCGGCCAACUAAGUCAGACGUGAAAUCCCUCGGCUUAACCGGGGAACUGCAUCUGAUACUGGAUGGCUUGAGUUCGGGAGAGGGAUGCGGAAUUCCAGGUGUAGCGGUGAAAUGCGUAGAUAUCAGGAGGAACACCGGUGGCGAAGGCGGGUCUCUGGGCAGUAACUGACGCUGAGGAGCGAAAGCGUGGGGAGCGAACAGG
rnacentral:rRNA from 1 species